rnacentral:rRNA from 1 species
CCCUUAGAUGUUCUGGGCCGCACGCGCGCUACACUGAUACAAGCAACAAGUACAUACCUUGGCUGAAAGGUUCCGGGUAAUCUUGUGAAAUUGUAUCGUGUUAGGGCUUGACGAUUGUAAUUUUUUGUCACAAACGAGGAAUUCCUAGUAAGCGCAAGUCACCAACUUGCAUUGAUUACGUCCCUGCCCUUUGUACACACCGCCCGUCGCACCUACCGAUUGAAUGGUCCGGUGAAAUCUCGGGACGGCGGCUUGGUCGCUUGCGUCCGACUGCUGAAACUUGAUUAAACCAUAUCAUUUAGAGGAAGGUGAAGUCGUAACA